UAUCAAGAAGGGUGUGGCCUGGACCAAACUAAAGGUGCACGCCUUCAUGCAGGCCCACUUUAAGCAGCGUGAGGCCGAUGAGGUGAAGCCUCUGGAUGAGUUGUAUGAAAAGAAGGCCAACUGUAUCGCCAAUCACACCGGUGCAGACAUCCACCGGAAUGGCGACUUCCAGAAGAAUGGCAAUGGCACAACCAGCGGCAUUGGCAGCAGCGUGGAGAAGUACAUCAUUGAUGAGGACCACAUGUCCUUCAUCAACAACCCCAACUUGACUGUGCGGGUACCCAUUGCUGUGGGCGAGUCUGACUUUGAGAACCUCAACACAGAGGAUGUUAGCAGCGAGUCGGAUCCUGAAGGCAGCAAAGAUAAACUAGAUGACACCAGCUCCUCUGAAGGAAGCACCAUUGAUAUCAAACCAGAAGUAGAAGAGGUCCCUGUGGAACAGCCUGAGGAAUACUUGGAUCCAGAUGCCUGCUUCACAGAAGGUGAAAGGGGACGAGGAGCGGAUG
rnacentral:sRNA from 1 species